rnacentral:lncRNA from 1 species
UCCAGAGAUUCAAUGUUCUUUUAGUCCCAUGUCUUCACCAAGGGGUUCCUUUCUUGUGGUCAAGUCACCAACAUCCAGUACUCCAAUAUGCACGAUUGUCUCCUCCUGUUGAACAGAUGCCCCCUCCUGUUAACAGACAUCCCAUGUGAACUCAGUCGAAGAAUGGCAUCUUUAAGCCAAAUUUUUUUUCCACCAUCGUGGAAGAGAAGGAACCAGCUACUAUCAUUGAGACUUUUAAAAGUCCUUCAUAGACUGCAG